rnacentral:misc_RNA from 1 species
UGGUUUGGGCAUCGAUGAAGAACGCAGCGAAAUGCGAUAAGUAAUGCGAAUUGCAGAAUCCGUGAGUCAUCGAAUCUUUGAACGCACAUUGCGCCCUCUGGUAUUCCGGGGGGCAUGCCUGUUCGAGCGUCAUUAUCACCCCUCAAACCUCUGGUUUGGUGUUGGGCUCUUGCGUGUGGGAUGUCCUCCCCCGCAGGCCUCAAAUAUAAUGACGGCGUCCCCGUGAGACUCGACGCACUGAGCUUUCUAACGAAGCACGCGUCGGUAGCGCUCCGGGUGACAACCGGUCUCAACCCAUUUUUAUCAAGGUUGACCUCGGAUCAGGUAGGGAUACCCGCUGA